GGUUGAUCCUGCCAGUAGUCAUAUGCUUGUCUCAAAGAUUAAGCCAUGCAUGUCUAAGUAUAAACUGCUUUAUACUGUGAAACUGCGAAUGGCUCAUUAAAUCAGUUAUAGUUUAUUUGAUGGUACUUCUACUCGGAUAACCGUAGUAAUUCUAGAGCUAAUACGUGCGUACAUCCCGACUUCUGGAAGGGACGUAUUUAUUAGAUAAAAGGCUGACCGGGCUCUGCCCGACUCGCGCUGAAUCAUGAUAACUUCACGAAUCGCAUGGCCUUGU
rnacentral:rRNA from 1 species